CAAUGAACAAACUAAGGACAUCUCGAGGAAGCGCCAUGAAGACAUCGUGGGCCGCGUGUUCAAACAGAUGCAAGAAUGCGAUGGUGACGUAGGGGGAAAGGAGCGAGUAUGCGCUAUCAGCAGCGGUACGAGCGUCUGAAAAUCAAGCCGAUAUCCGAGAAGCUGACCCGACUGGAAAGAUAUUUGCCGCAAAUCCUCGCGACUUGCUAGCAAAGCCUCGAGGAUUCCUGAAGUCGGGGCACCUUUCCUGAUGUCAGCAUGAUUUUAGACGCUCGUAGCGCUGCCGAUAGCGUGUACUCAUCUCCUGCACAACGUUCCUAGAA
rnacentral:lncRNA from 1 species